CAGCGCCACGAGUGGUAACCACGUUUAUUGGGCCUAAAGCGUCCGUAGCCGGUUUGGCAAAUCUUUUGUGAAAUUGUACGGCUUAACCGUACAGCGUGCAAGAGACACUACCAAACUCGAGACCGGGAGGAGUCAGAAGUAUUCCAGGGGGAGCGGUAAAAUGUUAUAAUCCCUGGAGGACUACCUGUGGCGAAGGCGUCUGACCAGAACGGAUCUGACGGUGAGGGACGAAAGCUAGGGGAGCGAACCGGAUUAGAUACCCGAGUAGUCC
rnacentral:rRNA from 1 species